GUGUGGCACAGCCUUAAUACAGAGCACGGAUUUAAUGUAUCGGCUCUGUGGGCUGAUGUAGCCCCUUUGGGCAUGCAAAAGGGAGAGAAGAUUUAGUUUUGUAAGAUCCCAAGACUAUCUAUGUUUAGUUACUGAUUCAUGGUUGUUGUCACACAACUUAAUCAUUGACUGUGAGCAAUGAUUGAAAAGACAAAUUUGGAAAAAAAAUUUGCUUGUGGAAACACAGAAUCAGCUUCUGAAAAAGGAGCAAUGCCCAAGGCCUAGGAGAAAGCCAGAACAUCACUUGAAUCAUCAUCUACUUUGUUGAAGCUUGAGGAAAACGCCCGACUUUUUGGCAAGACAGUCUUUUCUGAUAUCUGACCUAGGGAAGAAGUUCCAAAAGGCAUUUCACUUCUGGAAGGCUACCUGUAGCUGUUCGAUUCCAGCCAGGCUUCAGAAAGAACGUGGUUUUAAGAUGUUUGCUGCCAUCUAGUGCCUUUAUUUCUGUUUCCAACCCUUGAAAAAAUGGCCGUCAUUGUUCACAAAAAACUUUAGAGGAUAAAGUGGAUAUCAGUACACUAUUCUUUAGCUGUCACUGCAGAGAAACACAAACUAAAUGAUGAUUUCCAUAAUUCAGGGCU